CCUACGGGUGGCAGCAGUGAGGAAUAUUGGUCAAUGGACGAGAGUCUGAACCAGCCAAGUAGCGUGAAGGAUGACUGCUCUAUGGGUUGUAAACUUCUUUUAUAUGGGAAUAAAAUGUUCCACGUGUGGGUUUUUGUAUGUAUCAUAUGAAUAAGGAUCGGCUAACUCCGUGCCAGGAGCCGCGGUAAUACGGAGGAUCCGAGCGUUAUCCGGAUUUAUUGGGUUUAAAGGGGGCGUAGGUGGAUUGUUAAGUUAGUUGUGAAAGGUUGGGGCUCAAGCGUGAAAUUGCAGUUGAGACUGGGAGGCGUGAGUAGAGUGGAGGUGGGCGGAAGGCGUGGGGUAGCGGUG
rnacentral:rRNA from 1 species